AGUAAACUUUAGGGGUGUUCCUAUUUUUGGAACUGAGACAUACCCUUUGAACCUGAUGCGGUUAGUACCGCCGAAGGGAAAAGUUGAAAAACACCU
rnacentral:ncRNA from 2 species